rnacentral:rRNA from 1 species
AGCGAACGCUGGCGGCAGGCUUAACACAUGCAAGUCGAGCGGGCCCUUCGGGGUCAGCGGCGGACGGGUGAGUAACGCGUGGGAACGUGCCUUCUGGUCUGGAAUAACCCUGGGAAACUAGGGCUAAUACCGGAUACGCCCUUUUGGGGAAAGGUUUACUGCCGGAAGAUCGGCCCGCGUCUGAUUAGCUUGUUGGUGGGGUAACGGCCUACCAAGGCGACGAUCAGUAGCUGGUCUGAGAGGAUGAUCAGCCACACUGGGACUGAGACACGGCCCAGACUCCUACGGGAGGCAGCAGUGGGGAAUAUUGGACAAUGGGCGCAAGCCUGAUCCAGCCAUGCCGCGUGAGUGAUGAAGGCCUUAGGGUUGUAAAGCUCUUUUAUCCGGGACGAUAAUGACGGUACCGGAGGAAUAAGCCCCGGCUAACUUCGUG